GACGAACGCUGGCGGCGUGCCUAAUACAUGCAAGUCGAGCGAGCUUGCCUAGAUGAUUUUAGUGCUUGCACUAAAUGACACUAGAUACAAGCGAGCGGCGGACGGGUGAGUAACACGUGGGUAACCUGCCCAAGAGACUGGGAUAACACCUGGAAACAGAUGCUAAUACCGGAUAACAACACUAGACGCAUGUCUAGAGUUUGAAAGAUGGUUCUGCUAUCACUCUUGGAUGGACCUGCGGUGCAUUAGCUAGUUGGUAAGGUAACGGCUUACCAAGGCAAUGAUGCAUAGCCGGGUUGAGAGACUGAUCGGCCACAUUGGGACUGAGACACGGCCCAAACUCCUACGGGAGGCAGCAGUAGGGAAUCUUCCACAAAGGACGAAAGUCUGAUGGAGCAACGCCGCGUGAGUGAAGAAGGGUUUCGGCUCGUAAAGCUCUGUUGGUAGUGAAGAAAGAUAGAGGUAGUAACUGGCCUGUAUUUGACGGUAAUUACUUAGAAAGUCACGGCUAACUACGUG
rnacentral:rRNA from 1 species